GACGAACGCUGGCGGCGUGCUUAACACAUGCAAGUCGAACGGUAAGGCCCUUCGGGGUACACGAGUGGCGAACGGGUGAGUAACACGUGGGUGAUCUCGCCUGCACUUCGGGAUAAGCCUGGGAAACUGGGCCUCAUACCGGAUAGGACCACUGCAUGCGUGGGUGGUGGGGGAACGCUUUUGCGGUGUGGGAUGGGCCCGCGGCCUAUCAGCUUGUUGGUGGGGUGAUGGCCUACCAAGGCGACGACGGGUAGCCGGCCUGAGGGGGGGGCCGGCCUCACUGGGACUGAGAUACGGCCCAGACUCCUACGGGAGGCAGCAGUGGGGAAGAUUGCACAAUGGGCGCAAGCCUGAUGCAGCGACGCCGCGUGGGGGAUGACGGCCUUCGGGUUGUAAACCUCUUUCAGCACCGACGAAGCGCAAGUGACGGUAGGUGCAGAAGAAGGACCGGCCAACUACGUGCCAGCCGCCGCCGUAA
rnacentral:rRNA from 1 species